UUUUGUCUCCUACAUCAUUUAUUUCCAACACUUGGACAAAACAGCAUGAAAACACAGUUUCUUCAUUAGUCUUCUUCUCUCCCCGAAAUACAACUACCUUCCUCUUCAUCCAUAGCCAACCUUCGCGUCUGAUUCAAAAGCAAAUCCCUCAUCCAAUCGAAGCGCCCAGCUCCUCACUUGAGUUCCCAGUGGAUUUCACCCUCUCUGCACUAAAACCCAUCCCUCAGAUCCCUAAUCAUCAAUUGGAGAAUAAUGGCGAAGCAAUCUAAAGCCAAGGAAUUGGAGAAUCUGGGCAAGGGCACCGUCACCCCCGUCCAGAUCGCCUUCCUCGUCGACCAGUAUCUCUUCGGUAAUAGCUACACAGAAGCCCGCUUUGUUUUCAGAACUAAAGCCUCCUCACUCUUCUCCAAGUCUCCGAUUCAAGAGGUGUCAAAGAGCUUGCUAAGUUAGUCUGAGAUUCUAAACGAGUACAUAGCAUUGAGGAAUAGAAGGUGCUUCGUGAAGCCAAUGGCGACCCGGACAAGGCUGACGAGCCGUUCAUGAGCUCCACCGAGCUUCAUCUCUUCCCCUCAGUUUUUGCUCUUCCGACUGUUAUACACAGAGUGCUUUCGCUAUUCAGGCAUAACAAUAAGCUAUGGCGCUGAGGAGAAAAUUGGGUGACAGUUCAAAUCAUAAUUGCAAAAUGAUGUCAAGGUUUUCGAGGUAUUAUAGCUCAAACGAGGUGGACUUAAAGAAGCUGAGGCUUAUGAAGAUCUGAAGAGAAUCCAGGACGAAGAUAAGGAAUAUCUUCAUUCAACUCCUACUAUGGUCAGCAAGGCACUUCUUGCAGAGUUUAUAACGGCUAAGAAGAGAAGCAAACCAUUUAAAGCUUUGGGAUCAGAACAUAUGAAUAAACCUUGCCCCGUCAUUCCAUCUAACCUUACAAGUUCUGCUCUCCAAAGUCUCGAAUUUCAGAUGGAUGCAUUUUGCUUAAGAGAGCGGGAUCUACUGAAUCGCUUUGCUAUGGAAGUGUCCCAACGACAAAAACAGGGAGAAAGCAAAGAGUACUCAGUCCUUCUGUUCCAGAGUUAUCAGCCUGCAGAGGAUUUGGGAAGAGCUUUCUCAGAUCGAUCAAUAUUGCAAACCUUCAUCGAUGUAGAGGCAACUGUACCUGUUGGUUCACUAAAGCUAAGAGUAACUGUUACUGACCUUGUGAAAAUCUGUCUCUGCCACUUGUAUGGAUAGGACACUCAGUUGAUGAGAUUCGAAUAUCUUAAACAGGUUCUGUAGUACAUUUGGUGCUAUAUAGUUCGUCAUAUAUGACUAAAGGAGUAGGGUUCAUGAAUAUAUGGGAAAUAAGAAUGCGUUCUCAGGUCUUCUUGUGUUUUUGAGUCAAUUUCAUGCUUCACGUUUCAUGCUAGGAUACUGAAAAUUUGCUGGCUUUUGGCGAUAAGAAAAAAGAAGAAAGGAAGCAAGUCUGUUAUGGAUUAAUUGCAAUGUGUCACUACCCCCUGAAUCAUCAAUUUUUCAGAACACUUGACAUUAUAGAGAAGGUUUUGAGUUGCUUUUUCCCAAAAUAGAAACUAUCUGUAAUGAAGCUUAUUUUACAUAUUGUAAUGUGUGUAACUACCAUUGCACCAUAAACUAUGUGUACUUAACAUUGUAGUGAGAACGUAAAAUAAAUCCAAUAACUGAUCGUUGUUUGUUUCUACUACAGAAUGUCUUAGCUACGUUGAGGACCUUGUAUGCAUUGAGUUGCUUGGAAGAGGUUGUGGCAUUCCUCCGCUACGGGUACUUAUCAAUAGAUAAUGUUGCUGCCAUUAGGAAAGAAGUAAGCAGCCUCUACAGGGAGUUACGACCUCAUGCACUUGCCUUGAUCAUAUCGUUCAAAUAAAGGAUGAUGCACAAUUGGUGCUGGGAAGGCAAGUGGAGAGCCAGAUUUAAUCCCACAUCCCACCACCUCUUCUAACCAUUUUACCCAAUGUGAAGCCAGAAGUCCUAAUUUCUCUCAAGUAUUAUGUACCAAUUCAUUAUCAAAGUACUAGGUCGAUCAUUAUAUUUUUGGGUUGUUUAGUGAUCAUGUGCCACUUUGGCUUAUUAGGUUUCAUGAUUUUGUGGAACACUGACUAACAUGAAUGCAUCUUGGUGGAUCCAUUUGAUGA